ACGGAAGGCAGCAGUGGGGAAUAUUGCACAAUGGGCGCAAGCCUAAUGCAGCGAUGCCGCGUGAGGGAAGAAGGUUUUCGGAUUGUAAACCUCUGUCAACAGGGACGAAAAUGACGGUACCUGUGAAGGAAGCUCCGGCUAACUACGUGCCGGCAGCCGCGGUAAUACGUAGGGAGCAAGCGUUAUCCGGAAUUACUGGGUGUAAAGGGAGUGUAGGCGGGACUGUAAGUCAGAUGUGAAAUAUGCCGGCUCAACUGGCAGACUGCAUUUGAAACUGCGGUUCUUGAGUGAAGUAGAGGUAAGCGGAAUUCCUAGUGUAGCGGUGAAAUGCGUAGAUAUUAGGAGGAACAUCAGUGGCGAAGGCGGCUUACUGGGCUUUAGCUGACGCUGAGGCUCGAAAGCGUGGGGAGCAAACAGGAUUAGAUACCCUGGUA
rnacentral:rRNA from 1 species